GACGAACGCUGGCGGCGUGCUUAACACAUGCAAGUCGAACGGAGUGGCGAACGCGUGGGUAACACGUGAGCAACCUACCUUACACAGGGGGAUAGCCGUAGAAAACGACGAUUACUACCGCAUGGUGUAAGAAGGGCUCGGGUCUGCUUAGAUAGCUGGAAGGGGAAAGGCCUACCAAGGCGACGAUCAGUAGCCGGUCUGUGAGGAUUAGCGGGCAAGUUGUAAGUGAGAGACGAACCAAGAGUCUACGGGAUGCAGCAGUAGGGAGUAUUGCAGAAGGGGGGGAAGCCUGAUGCAGCAGCGCCGCGUGAGCAAGGAAGGUUCUCGGAUCGUAGAGCUCUAUCCUAUGAGAAGCGGUAUCAUAUGAUGAAGCCCGGGCUAAAUACGUGCCAGCAGCCGCGGUAAUAC
rnacentral:rRNA from 1 species